rnacentral:rRNA from 1 species
GAGUAGCACGUGGGUAACCUGCCCAUCAGAGGGGGAUAACAUCCGGAAACGGUUGCUAAAGCCGCAUAGGUCCUUUAACCGCAUGGUUGAAGGAGGAAAAGAGGCGCAAGCUUCUGCUGAUGGAUGGAUCCGCGGUGCAUUAGCUAGUUGGUGAGGUAACGGCUCACCAAGGCCGUGAUGCAUAGCCGACCUGAGAGGGUGAUCGGCCACAUUGGGACUGAGACACGGCCCAAACUCCUACGGGAGGCAGCAGUAGGGAAUCUUCCGCAAUGGACGCAAGUCUGACGGAGCAACGCCGCGUGAGUGAAGAAGGUUUUCGGAUCGUAAAACUCUGUUGUUAGAGAAGAACAAGUGCUAGAGUAACUGUUAGCGCCUUGACGGUAUCUAACCAGAAAGCCACGGCUAACUACGUGCCAGCAGCCGCGGUAAUACGUAGGUGGCAAGCGUUGUCCGGAUUUAUUGGGCGUAAAGCGAGCGCAGGCGGUUCCUUAAGUCUGAUGUGAAAGCCCCCGGCUCAACCGGGGAGGGUCAUUGGAAACUGGGGAACUUGAGUGCAGAAGAGGAGAGUGGAAUUCCAUGUGUAGCGGUGAAAUGCGUAGAUAUAUGGAGGAACACCAGUGGCGAAGGCGACUCUCUGGUCUGUAACUGACGCUGAGGCUCGAAAGCGUGGGUAGCAAACAGGAUUAGAUACCCUGGUAGUCCACGCCGUAAACGAUGAGUGCUAAGUGUUGGAGGGUUUCCGCCCUUCAGUGCUGCAG